GGCGUGACGAACCAACAGGUGACUCCAAGGGCGAGGUUUUCCAACGCGCAGGCGCCUUUGGGCAGAACUCAGCUUAUGGAUCUGUAAGAACAGCUUGAGAACAGCCUUAGGACCUACCAGUCGGCUUGAUACCCGGUUCAUCAUGAUGCGCUCUGGCAGAUCCAUUGUGUUGGCAAUGGUCAGGACCACAAGCUGGGCCUCCUUGUGAGUGGGCCAGUCAAAGAGAUUGUACAUUAUGUCUUGUUUCUGAGUCCAUAGAAGGUCGAGCUGCCAUUAAAUGGAGAGAGAUGUCAAGAUCAAGCAUAGACACAGAGCCAGGGCCCAGAGUGAAGGUCUGUUACUCCUGCUUUAGCUGCAUGUGCUUCUAGGAUCACACCACGAAAGCAGCAAGGAAGUCCGUGGAUGCAUGCCUCUCACCACCAAAGAACAGGCUCAGAUGAAUGAAGGAUGAAAGAAGGGAGGCAGGACUCCCCCCACAACCCAGCACUUGCUCCUGGAACACCACAGUCAAGUACCAUGCCACUUCUGCGGUGCUCCCGUGGGAACCUCCGUACCUCAUCCACGAGCAGCACAGUGGUUUCCUGAGAGGACCUUCGGGUGAGGAAUCGCUUUGCCAGCAGUUCUGCCGCAUGGUUAGCUGUUGCCUUUUGGCCUGUCAGCUUCUGCAAUGGGGGGAAAAGUAGGUGUGGUAAAUGGUAAGGAUUUUACUCCCCUGAGCUUGAUGUUAAAUUUGCAAUGGAGUCUGGAAGCAAUUUAGUCUGAGGACUUUAGUAUCCUAAACUCUGCCUUCCAGUCUAGUCUCAACCUUAACCUGGAGGGAUGAGAAGGUACCAAAAGAGAUGACAGAGUCCGUGUUUGGAAUGCAAAUGAGCCACAGGCUGGUCCCAGAAGCCUCUUCAAAAUCAUUACGGCAUGACUGUUUAUACCUGGAUAUUACUUGUUCCAAGAAAGCAACUAAUGAAUAUGAGAGUGAGGUUCAAACUCCAGCUACCUCUAAUCCCUUUUCCAGUCUGCCACAGUACCUCCUGUGUGCAAACAGUUUUUGCCAUAUUAACAAGUCCUGGCUUGCAGUAAUUCAUGUCCAGCCCCUAGACUUUAAGGUCCCUGAUGUCCCUGCCUUCUUUGCCCAUGCUACCUCAUACAAAGGACAACACCUGGCACAUCAUAAACAUAGAAAUAAGCACAAAAUUAAGUAAACCUUUCCUUUUUCAUGU